UAAAGUGCAGCCCAGUGGUAGAGCACUUGCUUAGUGUGCAUGAGGUUCUGGGUUCAAUCCCCAGUACUACAA
rnacentral:tRNA from 1 species